rfam:Metschnikowia bicuspidata var. bicuspidata NRRL YB-4993 METBIscaffold_4, whole genome shotgun sequence.
UGACAUAUAACACAAUGGUUAGGGUAUUAUUCCUUGGAAAUAUAAAUGUAAGUUCAACUCUUACUAUGUCUU